rnacentral:lncRNA from 1 species
AUGGCUAUUUACUCAACCAAGCCCUCCCCUUGUGCCCAGGUUUGGGCCCAGCAUUAACCCCAGGUGUGCCAGGAUAUGGAGGCGAGAGUGGGGGGAGAGACUGAUCCCUGGAGAAAUUGCAACCUAGAGGAGGUUGAGGAUGCGCCCUGGAAGGUGAGAAUGGACUUGAAGCUCUGGGAUAGCGUCGACUCCCCAGAGGCCAGUGACCCGAGGAGGUGCUGGAGGUGCCUUUAGACUUCAGCUGAAUCUUGUUGCUCUUGCCAGCCUCCUUUGUUUUCCCCAAAUCCUCAGCCUAUCAUUUCUCAAGCAGUGUAACCAGAAGCUACAGUCAUCAAACUUGAAAAUCGGACCCUAAAAGGAAUGCUCAUCACAACAUACCCCAUUUGCCCAGACUCUGUUUGAAGAUCUCCAAGGAGAGGGAAUUCACUAUUUUUUUAGGCAGCCCGUUCCACUUUUGGAUAGCAAUGAGGUUUCUCCUGAGAUCAAACCUAAAUUGGACUCUUCAUAACUUUCCCCCAUUACUCAUGGUUCUGUCUCUCAGACCAAAGAGAACCAAUCUAGUCUUCCACUGAAGAUGACUGUGCCCCCGAGUCUUCUUUUCUCCAAAUGAAACAAUUUCUUCAGCUGACUUUCAUGUGACAUGGCCUCCAGAUCCAUCACCAGCCUUCUUCACCUUAUCGAUGUCCGUUUUAAAGUGUAGUCUCUGGAACUGAGGACACUGUAUCGGGAGAGGUCUGAGCAUCCAAGGCUUCCAGACAUGUAGGCUGUCUCUUAAAGAAAUGUGAUCCCCUUGGGGCAGCUAGGUGGCUCAGCGGAUAGAGCUCCAGCCUUGGAGUUAGGAGGACCUGAGUUCAAAUCCAGUCUCAGAUGCUUGAUACUUACUAGAAGUGUGAUCCUAGGCAAGUCACUUACUUUGCCUCACCAAAAAACAAAAACAAAAGAAGUGUGAUUCCCAUCAGUGUAGCAGAGACUAGACUUUCUAGGAUAUUCUCGAGGGAAGUCACAGUUAAAAUACUGGUUAGACUAUGUGACCUCUGACCAUCUCAGUAUUCUAAUGCUGUGAUUCUCAUCAUCUCUCUACCUAGCUAUCCCUUCUGAGCAUUAAGGUGCUGAGGCAGAG